rnacentral:rRNA from 1 species
UAGGGAAUAUUGCAAAAUGGGCGAAAGCCCGAUGCAGCAACGCCGCGUGGGCGAUGAAGGCCUUCGGGUCGUAAAGCCCUUUUUGAGGGGAUGAGGAAGGACAGUACCCUCAGAAUAAGCCUCGGCUAACUACGUGCCAGCAGCCGCGGUAAGACGUAGGAGGCGAGCGUUAUCCGGAUUUACUGGGCGUAAAGCGCGUGCAGGCGGAUUGGAGAGUUGGAUGUGAAAGCUCCCGGCUUAACUGGGAGAGGUCGUUCAAUACUUCCAGUCUUGAGUGCAGUAGAGGGAAGUGGAAUUCCGGGUGUAGUGGUGAAAUGCGUAGAUAUCCGGAGGAACACCAGUGGCGAAAGCGGCUUCCUGGACUGUAACUGACGCUCAGACGCGAAAGCUAGGGUAGCAAACG